GGCGGCAGGAGGAGGAGGAGGAAGAGGAGGGCUCCCUGGAUACUGAUGACAACUGGAUCUCUGGAGCAAAGGUUCAAAGAGAGACAAAAAGAAACCGUCAGAGCAGCCAGGGGGGUCCAGCAUCUGCAAGGGCAGAAGGAGCCAUUGCCAGACACCAGCUCUUUAAACGUGAAGGGGCUCUUCCUGAAAGCAGCACCAGGACACGGGAGGCUAAGCCCUGGCAGACAGUCCCCGCUGACUUAACUUCAGUUAGCAGGAGGUGGCAAGGAGCUCUGGUCAGCCUCUCUCUAAUGAAGAGAUGGCAUCCUCGCUUCUACAAGGUGAACAAAGCAGCACAAGAACCAUCGGAAUCAAUUCCAGCAAUGAAGGUGAGACAGACGCGCUCUCGCCCCCACACGUACCUGGAAAGCAAACCAGCCCACUCUUCCUGAUAACUCAGUCCGCAGCUGGACUCACCAGCAAGUUCCAGAAACACAGAGCUGCCAGAGGCAAGAACCUCAUGCCCUAAGCCACCAGACCACAAACAAUAGUCAGACACUCUGUUUCCUCCCAUUUUGUCGAAAAGAAUCCAUGGAAACUUUUCCGUGGUGCUAAAGAGGAGAUAUGUCCCCAGAUGAUGAGGAAAAAGGGUAACUCCCAAGUCGGGGACAAAUAGGGAACUUUGAGGACCUGAGAGGAACCCACCCCUGAAUGUGCCCUGCCAAAGGCUCCUGCUGGGUCUGGCGCUCGCACAGGCAAUGAAGUGUGAGUGGAAACACAAGAGAGGAAACAGGAGGGGCCAGGGGCCAGGGCUCCAGGCUGGCACGGCACUGCAGCCGGACCUGCCUGGAAUAAUAAGCAGCUGCAGGGGGCGGCUACUCAGUGGAGCAGGCUCUUGUUCCCUGCCCUCUUCACUGGGCUGGGAGCAAGCUGGUAGCACUCACAGACACUCUGGUUAGAGUGCCAGUGUCACUGCCAUGCAGGAUGUGACAGGUGAAGAAGGGAAGACCUUGGGGGUGCGGGGGAGCAGGCUGGUCCCACCUUAGAAUACACCAAACUGAACGACGGAACCUGCUUCAGCACCCCAGCCCCCUAAACAAACACACAAAAUCUGUUCUCUUUUCUCUGAUACAGAGGCUCCUUCCUCCCAAGCGCGGGUCUGUCUCUCCCUAUUUUCAGGAGUGGGGGUAGAGUAGGGGGUGGGAAGGGAGGGAAAUAAUAUCUGCUGAGAACCUACAAUGAGCCAGGCACCAUAGUAGGCACUUUAUGUGAAAAUUAGACAAAUCAUAUAUAUAUAUAUGUAUGUAUCACACACACACACAUAUGUAUUAUAUAGUGCCUAGUACAGUGGCUGAUAUGUAGUGGUUGGUCCAUACAUAGCCAUUAUCAAUUAUUAUGUAUAUUGUUUCACUGAAUCCUCACCAACAACCUAUAAGGAGAGCAUCUCAUUUUGUAGCAGGGAAAUAGAGAUCCCGAGAGCCAGGAUUUGUGCCCCAGGCUGAAUCCAAAGCCACCCUGCCUCAGGUACAGGGAAGCCUGUAAGAGAACGGAAACCAAGCUAUGGAUUUACUUCCUAAAGCUUGAUGAGAAGGCACACAUUAACCUGUCUGUCCCUGGCCCACGGCCCCUCGAGGUUCUGAAACAGGCCAGGGAAGCACCUCCUCACCUCUUCGAACAUUAUGGGCAGGUGUAGGGAUAGACCCCCGCGGAUCAGGGCAGACACUGCCCACUUCAUCCCCUCCCCCCCAUACAUCUGUAGCUCCCAGCCAGGACACACCAGGCUCUGGGUUGGCGCGAUCCCAGGCAUAUCCAAUUCCCACCAGGAGAUCCCGGGACGGGGAAGAGGGCUUCCUCCACUCUAUCAUCUCAUACCCUUGGCCUUGCGAUCCAUAGAGACUUGGGAGAUGCCCAGAGAGGCCCUGUUCUAGCCUCUCUCGUCCUCCAGCAGGGGCACUCUCUCACCAUCACCCACAGUUCCUUCAGCUCUACUCCUCCUCUCAGGCACUCCCAUGCUGCUAAGAGGGUCAUGUCCUGCCCAGAAAGCUGGCAAGCACCUGAACGGGGCAGCCAGCCUCACCUGGAACAUCCGGCUGCCCCUUCUCUGAAGGUCUAAACCGCACACAGAGGCCGCUCUGCUCCCUCCUCAUUACUGGCCCCUAUUUCCAAGACUUUCCAAGACCCAGAGUCUAGCCCUCCCUGGCCAAUCCCGCCGCUCAGGUCCAGCAGCCACCCUCGCUGUGGUCCCCGCUUUCCCUUCCCUCCCCAGGGCCGCCUGCCCUAACCGCCUCUCUAACACCUGCUGGCAUGCAGGAGCAGACUCAAGCACACAUCUUCCCCUUCAGUCUACUGAGGCCUUUGGAAGUGCACAGAAGAAGGUCAGAGGCCGAGGAUGUCAGCUAAAGUUCAGGUGGUGGGGAGCACCACCUGACAUCUUCAGCAAUAGCUAUGCCCAUGCCAAGAAGGCAAGUGCAGGCUGGGCACCAAAACUAGGCCUCUGUACCGGCCACAGGAUGGCACGCUGUGGCCUGUGGUCUUGGUUCUGGAACCUGAUCCUGAUUCUCAGCCAGCCCCUAGGACUUGGGUUCUGGAGGGUACUUCCGUUCUGAAGAGAGAACAUCAUGUCUUGGUUAGCAGGCGGUACAUAUGGGGCUCCCUUGCUCCCCCUCCCCCUCCCUGAGUCUGCUAUCCUGUGAGCAUCUUCCUCAAUUCAGCAGCAGAAAUGUAGUGCCAGAAUCAAAGCAUCCAUCUGGAGAAAAAGUAUUGCCCUCAACCCCUGGGUCUCAGGGAUCCAGGAUUCAUCCCUGGCUCCUCCAGAGAACCACCUGGUACUUCUUAGCCACACUAAGUCUAUGCAUACCUGGACCCAGUCACCUACUCCUGGGUGCAUCUCCCAAAGAAAUUCUCACACGGGUCCAGAAGGGGGCAUGUGCCAGGCCAUUCACCGGAACAUUAUUUGUGGUGAUAGGGAGAGGAAGGCCACCAGGGAUCCCCUCUCCCAGUGAUGGACAGGUAAACCAUGUGCACUAGAUAACAGGGGCUAUUAUGUAACAGAAACAUAGAUCAGAUGUACACAAGACAAGAUGAUCUUAAAAUCAGUGCUCAGGAGCCGGCCCCGUGGCCGAAUGGUUAAGUUUUUGCGCUCCGCUGCGGCAUCCCAGGGUUUCACUGGUUUGGAUCCUGGGUACGGACA